UACGUAGGGUGCAAGCGUUGUCCGGAAUUAUUGGGCGUAAAGAGCUCGUAGGCGGUUUGUCGCGUCUGCCGUGAAAGUCCGGGGCUCAACUCCGGAUCUGCGGUGGGUACGGGCAGACUAGAGUGAUGUAGGGGAGAGUGGAAUUCCUGGUGUAGCGGUGAAAUGCGCAGAUAUCAGGAAGAACACCCGUGGCGAAAGCGGCUCU
rnacentral:rRNA from 1 species